AGCAGCCGCGGUAAUUCCAGCUCCAAUAGCGUAUAUUAAAGUUGUUGCAGUUAAAAAGCUCGUAGUUGAAUUUCGGGACCAUCAUGUCGGUCGUGCCUCGGUACGUACUGGCAUUCGUUCGGUUUCUCCCUUCUGACGAACCAUGAUGUCAUUUAUUUGGUGUUGUGGGAAAUCAGGACUGUUACUUUGAAAAAAGUUAGAGUGUUUAAAGCAGGCUCACGCUUGAAUACAUUAGCACGGAAUAAUAGAAUAGGACGUGUGGUUCUAUUUUGUUGGUUUCUAGGACCGCCGUAAUGAUUAAUAGGGAUAGUCGGGGGCAUCAGUAUUCCAUUGUCAGAGGUGAAAUUCUUGGAUUUAUGGAAGACUAACUACUGCGAAAGCAUUUGCCAAGGAUGUUUUCAUUAAUCAAGAACGAGAGUUAGGGGAUCGAAGACGAUCAGAUACCGUCGUAGUCUUAACCAUAAACUAUGCCGACUAGGGAUCGGAUGAUGUUAAUUUUUUCAAUGACUCAUUCGGCGCCUUACGGGAAACCAAAGUGUUU
rnacentral:rRNA from 1 species